rnacentral:rRNA from 1 species
GCGUGGGUGAAGAAGGUCUUCGGAUUGUAAAGCCCUUUCGACGGGGACGAUGAUGACGGUACCCGUAGAAGAAGCCCCGGCUAACUUCGUGCCAGCAGCCGCGGUAAUACGAAGGGGGCUAGCGUUGCUCGGAAUGACUGGGCGUAAAGGGCGCGUAGGCGGCUUGCACAGUCAGGCGUGAAAUUCCUGGGCUCAACCUGGGGACUGCGCUUGAGACGUGUGGGCUUGAGUGGGGAAGAGGGUCGUGGAAUUCCCAGUGUAGAGGUGAAAUUCGU